AAUCUGCUGUUUGUCUAGUGCAAGAACAACCAACUUUGUUUAUGCAGCCAUCAAUUUUCCUCUGUGUUUACCACAGCUCCUUGGAGAGAUGAAAAGAAUCUACCAGAUCGACGCUGAUAAAACCAUCCUAACAAAAAUGGGAGAACUUGCGCCAAAGUUGUUAGAAAAGGCACCUAAAGGUACUUUAAAAGACACCUGCCUGCAGACACUGCAGUCAUGUGAGGAUGAACAAGAAAGAAAAGCUCAAAUGGUCAAUGCAGCCAUUGUCUUGCUGCCAUCAUUUUUCAAAGAAAAUCCUGCAUUCCUUUUUGUCAACGACCAGGAACCCAUUUCUCCCACACCCACCAUCGUGAUGACCGGCU